rnacentral:tRNA from 1 species
CGACUAGUGGCGCAGCGGUUAACGCAUCUCCGUCGCGGGUUCGAAUCCCGUCUGGUUGG